UGCGUGGUUCGUUGCUGCUUUGUGUAC
rnacentral:piRNA from 1 species